CGGGCAGGAGAAGACGGAAGUGGAGCGAGGACAAAAUGGCUGCGAAGGUUGUUGCUCCCCUCCCCCACCCACGUCCGAAUCCUCCUUUCCAUGCCCCACCUUCGUGUUCCAGACGGGCCUCUAAGUGCCCCGGGUUUCGCGAAUCUGUAUUUCAUAGCGUGGCUUUGGACAAGGGCUGACCCCGAGGGGCUGGGGCGAAGGUUCCGGCUUCAGGGUGCCACUAGGGCUGCUCGCUCACGGCCCCCCAGGAUUGGGAUUGGAGGGAGCCGCCAGGCCGCCGCGGGGUGGGGCGGGUUAGCUCGGCAGGCCUCCCAGCACCUGCAUUUCCCUACGGCAACUGUCGGGAGGCAGCCCCCGACGCAGAGGUUUAAGGGGCCCGGCUUUUCAGAACCGCCUCAGGACGCGGUCGUGUCUGGAUCCCUCCGCGGAAAAGAAGGCGAAACCGCUUCUCUGAGCCCUGACCGUUAGGCCCCUUCCCACCUCCGUCUAGAACAGAUUCGGCUUCUUGGCUCAGUCCUUCCCCAACUAGCCCAAGCCCUACAUUUCCCCGUUGUUUAUAAAAUAAACAGGUUUAAAUGGUG
rnacentral:lncRNA from 10 species